ACUCCUACGGGAGGCAGCAGUGAGGAAUAUUGGUCAAUGGAGGGAACUCUGAACCAGCCAUCCCGCGUGUGAGGAAGGACUGGGCCUUAUGGGAUUGUAAACUUACUUUAUGAAACAGGAACGAAACGUACCUCGGUGCAGGUGCCUGACGUACUGUAGGAAUAAGCACCGGCUAACUCCGUGCCAGCAGCCGCGGUAAUACGGAGGGUGCGAGCGUUAUCCGGAUUUAUUGGGUUUAAAGGUCCGUAGGCGGAUUAAUAAGUCAGUGGUGAAAUCCCAUCGCUUAACGAUGGAACUGCCAUUGAUACUGUUAGUCUUGAAUGAGGGUGCAGUGGUUGGAAUGUGUAGUGUAGCGGUGAAAUGCAUAGAUAUUACACAGAACACCGAUUGCGAAGGCAGAUCACUAACCCUAAAUUGACGCUGAGGGACGAAAGCGUGGGGAGCGAACAGGAUUAGAUACCCUGUAGACUGUC
rnacentral:rRNA from 1 species